GGUCCUCAUGACCCAUCAGUCACUAUACAUUGCUGUCUUUAUAGAACCACCCCAGAUGGUCUUCCCCCUUCUGAGAGCAGAAAGCAGGCAAUCUAAAGUGACAGGAAGGCUCCUGUCUUGGUCAUCGCCACACCCCUAGGAUGCAGCGCAGAGCCUGGCACAGGCAGUUGCAGAAUCUCUAGGUUGCCAGAGGCCCCAAACUCAUCUGCAAACCUAACAAAUAUCAAAACAGCUAGAAAAGAUGACACCAUACAAGACAAGCGAUUAGGGAGCAAACAUGGCUGAGAGUCUUCCUCUCUGGUGUACUCAACAAGGCAAGAGCCAAAGAAUUACAAGACACAUUUUUCCAUCAUUGAAAACGUUUAUUAAUUUGUAUGUAACUCUUCUAAUCCUAAA